rnacentral:rRNA from 1 species
AGGGCACCACCAGGAGUGGAGCCUGCGGCUUAAUUUGACUCAACACGGGAAAACUCACCCGGCCCGGACACUGGAAGGAUUGACAGAUUGAGAGCUCUUUCUUGAUUCAGUGGGUGGUGGUGCAUGGCCGUUCUUAGUUGGUGGAGUGAUUUGUCUGGUUAAUUCCGAUAACGAACGAGACUCUAGCCUACUAAAUAGAUCGUCGGCUUACAAACGCCGGCGAGACUUCUUAGAGGGACAGGCGGUGAUUCAACCGUACGAAACAGAGCAAUAACAGGUCUGUGAUGCCCUUAGAUGUCCGGGGCCGCACGCGCGCUACACUGAAGUGAUCAGCGUGCUUUUUCAACCUACUCUGUCAAGAGUGGGGAACCCAAUGAACCUUCUUCGUGAUUGGGAUAGGGGAUUGUAAUUGUUCCCCUUGAACGAGGAAUUCCCAGUAAGCGCGAGUCAUAAGCUCGCGUUGAUUACGUCCCUGCCCUUUGUACACACCGCCCGUCGCUACUACCGAUUGAAUGUUUU